rnacentral:lncRNA from 1 species
GGUGGUGAGGGCGUGUAUGUGGCGUGAAACGGUGCAAGCUGAGAGGUUAAUCGCCCUAGGUAGGCAAAAGUGUAUAGGAACCGGGAGGAGGCAGGAGGAUGGGGGAGGUAGUGGGUAGGGGGCAGUGGGAGAGGGAAGGGAGCUGGAAGGUACGGCAGAGGGGACUAGGAAGCAGGAUUUGAGGGGGAUUGGAUGGGAGAAGAAGAGUAAUGUGGUCAGUAGGAGUUAGUAAGUUAGAAUGCUUGGGACUAGCAUGGUACAAGGGGAGAUUUGGAGACCGUUGGUAGGGGCGGGCUGAGUUGCCGAUGUUGGUGGAGCAGGGAGGGGAUAUGUAUGUGAGUGUGGCCUAGCAAGGCCGAGAGGGGUAGAAGGGUGCAUGAUUCACGGAAGGUGGUGACGGGAGGUGGAAGUGUUUGUGUGUGUGCGUGGCCCAACGAGGUCGAGAGAUGGAGGAGUGAGUAUGAGUCGCCGAUGUUGGUGACGCGAGAGGAUGGUCUUUGUGUGUGUGUGUGGCCUCUUUAGGUCGAGAGGUCGAGGAGUGAGUAUGAGUCGCCGAUGUUGGUGACGCGAGACGAUGGUAUUUGUGUGUGUGUGUGGCCUCUUUAGGUCGAGAGGUGGAGGAGUGAGUGUGAGUCGCCGAUGUUGGUGACGCGGAAUAAUGGUGUGUGGGUGUGUGCGUGGCCUAUUAGGUCGAGAGGUGGAGAUAUAGAUGUGAGUCGCCGAUAUUGGUGACGUGGAAUGAAGGUGGUUGGGUGUGUGUGUGUGUGUGGCCUCGUAGAGGUCGGGAGAUGGGGGAAGAGUGUAUGAGUCACCGAUGUUGGUGACGAGAGUUAGUGGAUGAUUGUUGGGUGGGGGGGGGGUUGUUUGGCCGUGCUAUUGCCUUGGAAUGGGACCUUGAUAAUUAGUGUAGGGAGAGGGUUAUGAGUUGUUGGGGUUGGGUAGGAUAAAUGCAUAUAGACAUUUCUGGAAAUUCUUGUCACUGCAUAUCACACUUACAACUUGAUUUUUAUCGUAUUGAGUUAUGUGAACUCACUUCUCAUCAUUCACAGGUGGAGUAAGGACGGAAUUGGGAUCCGAGCGGCUGGUAACGGAGCCCCGUCGGUAGUGCCAUAGGGCACGAGUUUUGUUUGUGAUUUAAAGUAGUUUGAAAGGAUGGUUUAGUCUGGAUAUUGAAUAUCUAGGAAUGUUUGAUAUUGUGUUACUAUGUGUUGUAGAGGUGGAGAUGUAUGUACAAUUGAUUUGGAACAUGGAAGGUGGAUAAAUUUCUCUUGUGCAUGGUUGGAAUAAUAUGGAUUUCGGUAUUGUGUUGUAUGCGUGCUUUAUCGUACACCGUUAAGAAAAAA